CCCUGAUUCAGCGGCGGACGGGUGAGCAAUGCCUAGGAAUCUGCCCGAUAGUGGGGGACAACGUUUCGAAAGGAACGCUAAUACCGCAUACGUCCUACGGGAGUAAGUGGGGGAUCUUCGGACCUCACGCUAUCGGAUGAGCCUAGGUCGGAUUAGCUAGUUGGUGAGGUAAUAGCUCACCAAGGCGACGAUCCGUAACUGGUCUGAGAGGAUGAUCAGUCACACUGGAACUGAGACACGGUCCAGACUCCUACGGGAGGCAGCAGUGGGGAAUAUUGGACAAUGGGCGAAAGCCUGAUCCAGCCAUGCCGCGUGUGUGAAGAAGGUCUUCGGAUUGUAAAGCACUUUAAGUUGGGAGGAAGGGCAGUAAGCUAAUACCUUGCUGUUUUGACGUUACCAACAGAAUAAGCACCGGCUAACUUCGUGCCAGCAGCCGCGGUAAUACGAAGGGUGCAAGCGUUAAUCGGAAUUACUGGGCGUAAAGCGCGCGUAGGUGGUUCAGCAAGUUGGAUGUGAAAUCCCCGGGCUCAACCUGGGAACUGCAUCCAAAACUACUGAGCUAGAGUACGGUAGAGGGUGGUGGAAUUUCCUGUGUAGCGGUGAAAUGCGUAGAUAUAGGAAGGAACACCAGUGGCGAAGGCGACCACCUGGACUGAUACUGACACUGAGGUGCGAAAGCGUGGGGAGCAAACAGGAUUAGAUACCCUGGUAGUCCACGCCGUAAACGAUGUCAACUAGCUGUUGGGUUCCUUGAGAACUUAGUAGCGCAGCUAACGCGAUAAGUUGACCGCCUGGGGAGUA
rnacentral:rRNA from 1 species